CGAUGUGAGGGCCAUCAGCCUGUGACACCCAUCACCACACUGAUCUCCAGGCUUGACUCAGCCCAUGUGGCUGCCCAAGCCCAGGUCCCCUUCCUCACCCAGCGCUCCACAUGCAUCCCUCCCAAAGCUGCUGGGGCACAGAGGGCGACCUCCCCGAUACAGACAGUGCAUUUUAUCACUCAAGGCUAUUUGGCAACUGUGCUCCCUGCUAAAACUUUCAAACCUGCCCAUGGUACUAGGGUUACCUUUCUAGGGCUUCCCCGGAAGUCAUAAUUAAAAUUUUGGUAAAAGAAGUCUGAAAUAGGGUGUAAAAAUGGGAGGCAUGCAUGUGGGGCAUUUUUU
ensembl:misc_RNA 7SK 7SK RNA